GUGGGGAAUAUUGGACAAUGGGCGAAAGCCUGAUCCAGCCAUGCCGCGUGUGUGAAGAAGGUCUUCGGAUUGUAAAGCACUUUAAGUUGGGAGGAAGGGCAGUAAGUUAAUACCUUGCUGUUUUGACGUUACCGACAGAAUAAGCACCGGCUAACUUCGUGCCAGCAGCCGCGGUAAUACGAAGGGUGCAAGCGUUAAUCGGAAUUACUGGGCGUAAAGCGCGCGUAGGUGGUUUUGUAAGUUGGAGGUGAAAUCCCCGGGCUCAACCUGGGAACUGCCUCCAGAACUGCAUGACUAGAGUACGGUAGAGGGUAGUGGAAUUUCCUGUGUAGCGGUGAAAUGCGUAGAUAUAGGAAGGAACACCAGUGGCGAAGGCGACUACCUGGACUGAUACUGACACUGAGGUGCGAAAGCGUGGGGAGCAAACAGGAUUAGAAACCCCUGUAGUCC
rnacentral:rRNA from 1 species